GACGAACGCUGGCGGCGUGCUUAACACAUGCAAGUCGAACGGAAAGGCCCUGCUUUUGUGGGGUGCUCGAGUGGCGAACGGGUGAGUAACACGUGAGUAACCUGCCCUUGACUUUGGGAUAUCUUCAGGAAACUGGGGCUAAUACCGGAUAGGAGCUCCUGCUGCAUGGUGGGGGUUGGAAAGUUUCGGCGGUUGGGGAUGGACUCGCGGCUUAUCAGCUUGUUGGUGGGGUAGUGGCUUACCAAGGCAUUGACGGGUAGCCGGCCUGAGAGGGGCACCGGCCACAUUGGGACGGAGAUACGGCCCAGACUACUACGGGAGGCAGCAGUGGGGAAUAUUGCACAAUGGGCGGAAGCCUGAUGCAGCAACGCCGCGUGCGGUAUGACGGCCUUCGGGUUGUAUACCGCUUUCGCCUGUGACGAAGCGUGAGUGACGGUAAUGGGUAAAGAAGCACCGGCUAACUACGUG
rnacentral:rRNA from 1 species